rnacentral:lncRNA from 1 species
CCUCGGAGCUUUGCUGAAACUGCACAAAAAAUCGAGCUGGGGGGUUCCCUGGUCCCCGAUGUUGGGGCGGAGAGCGCGGCGCCGAGGGAGGGGGCGGCGCAGACCGGCCUAGGGGACACCUGGUCGAGCGCAGCCGCCGCUCCGCUCGAGCCCUGCGCUCCAGUGCCCCCACUGGCUGGAGAGCUCGCCCAGACCGGGGGUCUUCCUCCGUCGCUGACAGAUUUUAACCAUUAGAAGAAUACCAGUUCUGGAAAACAACCAAAGUUUCUUUGAUUGAAUGCCCAUGUAAUGCAUUGGAAUAUGAUAGGCGAUUAAGGUUUAACAAUGUUAAAAUGAAGAUAUUACUAAAAUGGCCCUCUAAAUAGCCCAACAAUUAUUAUUUUCAUUAAUUCUCUCUCUCGGGCAGAAACCUACGUGUUCCUCUUCCAGAGAGCUGGUGAAGCCAAAGGCAUUCUCAUAAUGAUGCGCUACACCGACUGACAUUUACCAACUGUGUCAAAGCUACAGGAGCCAGGUAGACACUGCUGGAACUUUAACGGGAAUCAAACAAGUCUAUAAGAAGCACUGAGCUGUGCCACUACCCAAUCAGUGUUCUUCCAGAGCACACAAACGAAAGUGGGAGGAGCCUUCCAAUGAGAACUGUUGUGUGAUUAAUCAAUGAGGCUGACUAAAGCACACACUUAUAAUCCCAAUACUCAGAAAGACAGAGGAAGAAGGAUAUCAGCGCAAGGCCAACAAGGCUUCAAAGCAAGUACCAACCCAGUAUGGACCAUGAGACCCUAUUUCAGAAACAAAUAAUAAAAGCUUGAUGAAGCUGCAAAAAUUACUCAUUUUAUCAAUCCCUAUUCUUGUAUACUGAACUAUACACAAAGGCACUUGUGUGGCCAGUGGGUGCGGUCAGAAAGGAGUACAGGCUCACGUGACUCAGCUACAAGCUGAGACAGCUGCUGCUAUUAGGAAAACAAUGGAAGCCAGCAGUAUGUAGAUUUAGGGAGCUGACAAAUCCUGAAAAUGAAUAAAAUGAGCUGGGUACUUCCAGAAACACGAUACUUCUUGACCAUGAAAAGGAAAAAGGCUGGGUUUUUAUGUUAAAAUUUGAAUUUUUGCAAAAUGUACUUAUAAUCUUCCCAUUAAAGAUGCUGAUAAAUAGUAAAGUUAACAAAUGUGAGGGUUAUUGGGGAAUUAUAUAAUGAAAUAUGUCAAUGUUUGGAGGUCUCUGUAAUAAUGUUAUAAAUCAUAGAAGACUUGUUUAAAAUAUAAGAAAGGGUUGGAGUGUGGCUCAGUGGGAGAGCACUUGCCAAGACCCUGAGUUCAAUUCCCAAUACUGCAGAAAUAAAAAAUAAGUAUGAUCUCAUA